GUUGCGUUUGCUAAUAUCCGGCAAAUUGCGUCUAUUUGUUAUUGUUUAGGGGCAACAAAUUAAGUAAAUUUUGAAAGUUGAGAAAUAAUGGAAUGUUGUGACGAUCUUUAAGAAUGGUAAAUCGUUGUGUUGUUGAUGGCUGCACAAGUGGUAGUGUAAAUGAUCGUCAUAAACAUAGCAAAUUGGAUACGAGAUGUACAUCAUUAUUUACUGUGCCGAAGUGAAGAGGAUAUCAUUGAAAGUGAUAAAAUAUAAAUGAUGAAUGGUACAGAAGAAUUGAUGAGGACAAGAUAUGCAAUGAAACAAGGUGCUAUUCCAACUUUUAACACUAUAAACUUAAGUGAGAGUAGGAAUACUAAAGAUGUUGAUACUUCUAUUAUAUUUGUAAUAGCAACCAUAAAUGUUUUGGAGAUUUUGAACUAAUUAUCAACUCUGAAGAUACUAAGCAUGAGAACAAAGAACAGGUACACAAAUCACCUAUUUGCAGAAGGGAAUAUAUAAGAAUUUUUAUUGUCAAUAAUUGUUAAAAAAAAUAAUUUUUAUUGCACUUAAAUUUAAUGCUUUACUUAAAAAUUGGAGCUGGUAAAUGGAUUUGUUUGAUUCUAUGAAACUUGUCUUGUAUUAUGUAGGCAAAUUUUCUGUGAAAUUCAAGUUUCAUGUUAAAAUUAAUCAAAACUUUGAAGUCUGGUAGCUGACCAACAUUACAACAGAAAAGUUGAUUUACAUUAACAUUUUUUUCCAAUACAUUUGAUUUUUGGAAGUUUUUAAAGGAAUUGGAGAAUUACACGCUAUGUAUUUGGAUUUGAUCAAGAAAAGUAAGAUUUAUGACUCAUGAGUAUAAAAAGCAAAUGAUUGGUUUUCGUUGUGUAGCUUGUCAAAAAGUGAGACAUAAUUUAAAAAAUCAAUCUUAUAAACUCAUGCCUGAUUAUAAGGAAUGUUAUGAUAAUUUUGAAGUGCCAGGAUAGUCUUAAAAAUAAACAAAUUUCAAUUCUCAAACACAGAGUAAGUAAUAACAAUUAACAACAGGAAAACAUUUCUCCCAACAGAUUCCCUCGAUAAAAUGAUAAUCCAUCCACAUCUGGCUGACCAAUACCUGACCCAGGAAAUUCCAAUCGAUUUUUUUUUCAUAUUUCCAAAGCUCGAACCCUUAAGAAUAUGUCCUUAAACGGAUUUUUGAAAAUUCUCAUGUUUUCUGGAGGUAUAGUAGAUUUUGGAACAUAGCGUCUAAGCCGGCCGAGUGGAACGAGUUAUUUUACUGGAAUUGUUUCUCAAACUUUAAACGGUUUUAUCAAAAAUACUUUUUUUGAAGUGGUUUACAUGAUAACUCAAGUUCUACCCGACCGAUUCCUUUGAAAUUUGGUGGAAAGCUUUUUUUAUAUUGUGGGAAUAUUGAAUGCAAAAAUCCUUCUCUUUUAAGAUAUCCUACUUUAAUAAUAUUGAUUUUAAUAUGAUUUUGGAAGUGAAGUUUUCUAAUUCAAAACAUCUAUUAAACACAUUUUAACUUAGUCAAAGGAUAUAUUUUGGUAUUUCCUAAAAUAAAGAAAGAAAAGGUUUUCCAGCUACAGGUCAUAAAACCAGGUAUAGGUUUAUGUAUAGAAUAUAGAAUAAAAUCCAAAAUGUAUUAAGUUUAGGAAAUAGGUAGUCAGCUCUCUCUGAUAAUUAACAUUGUAAGGACAUACCUCUAAAACUCCAAGAAAAAUAGAGAAUAGAAAUCCAAGAGAAUAAUAUUCCAAUUGAUUACUUAUUUAGUUUUUUUCAUAAAGACACCAUACCUAAUCUAUAAUGCCAACAUAUAUCUCUCUAUCUUGUCUGUCUUGGAUUUUAAAAAAUUCGAAAAUGUCAAAAAAUUGAUAUUUCAUGUCAACUCCAUUUUGUGAAUUUUUUUGCUACGGUCAAUGCAAUAGUGACAUCUUUACAGAUUGAGAAUUUUUCAAUUUUUUUGUUCCAGAUCAGUACAAGGGCUGGAAUAUGUCAACCAGGGUACACCAUUUUUUUUGUAGCCCCCACUUUACCGCCCUGUAAAUUAUUGAAAUUUUUUCUAUAUUCUUAAAAAGUUAAUAAAUAGCAUAUAAAAAAAUGGAUAGUAAAGAUGUUUUUCAUUUUUUUACGUUAGUAGUCUAAUAUUUAGGCUUCUUAAGGCCCCUUAAGGUCCAAAGAGAAUACCAUUGAACUCCUCCCGAAUAUACCUGACCUUGGGUAUAACCAAAAACCUUCUGCGUGAUCUUUGUUCCAUAUUUACAAGAACCCGGGCGAGGCAUUUGGAAUCGUGGAAAAAUUCAUGUCUCGAGACCGCGAAGCGAUCAGAUCUCGAACACCGAGAUCUCAGCGGAGCUGCGCCGUUUCUGGAGACUUAGCUCACACAACAUGGUAGUACGAUUUUUUAUUGUUAUACCUUUAAUUAUUCAAUUUCUGUAUAAAUACGUUAUGUUAACAUUUUAAAAUAUUAACAUUGUCUCAAUUAGAUUUUUGAAAACUGAAAAAUCUAUUGUAUAUGAUAUUACAGAGGAUCUAACAUAAAAGAUAAAAAUUUUGAACAAUUAUAGAUUAUAAUAUUGUAAUACAAAAUAUAGUCUCUAUUGAUUAUUAAUUUUUAUCCAAUUUUUAUCUCCUUAUAAACCCUUUAAAAAUGCGCAAUACAGAUAUAAAGUGUUGCGAAACAACAAAUAUAUGUAUAUUUUUUUUUAAUUCUUUAACAUUUCAAAUUAAACUAAUAUACAAAUUUUAACAUUAACACUAUUUUUUAUUUGAAACUUUACGAUUACUGAUGUUUCAUUAUAUGAAAAAAGCCUCACAAAUUUUCCAAUCAUUUCAGCAUAAAUUACUCAAAGAAAUAACUGAUAAACAAGAAGCCAAUGGCCAAUGAUUAUGAUGUCUCUACAAGUGAUGGUAUAGUAGCUUACAUUGCUGAAUACAUGGCUCGAAAAGUUCAAGGUUAUCCGGUUAUCCCUGUGUUGUGACUGCAUUGACACCUAUGUUCUAAUAAAUCUUUCAAUUUUGAUGAGAUUAUUCAGUCGAUGAGUAAUGGUGUAUUUAUGUUUCACAGUAAUAAACUCUUCAAACUGGUCGAAAAAAUUGUUUUAGCUGUGAUCAAUACUAAAACAGUGAAUGAAGACUUGUAAUGAAAACCAUAUUAAAUACAAAAAAAGGAAAUUUUGAGAAAAAACGUAUUUCAUUCAUAUUCUAAAAUUAUUUGACCUGAAAUUUUUGUUACUUUGUUUUCCAAUAGCUAUUACCACCUGAUUUUAAUUUAUAAUGUUUAACCUAAUUUUUUGUUAAUAGAUUAUGGAAUUUAAAACAGUUUGUGACAUUUCUGAAGAAACGUGCUAAGUACCAGCAUAAUUGCAUGAAAACUGAGCUAUGUACCUGUUGAGUAGAUAAAAACAAAAAUUAUGCUGGACUCUUCACAAAAGCUCAAGAAUAUUAAUACCUAACGGUAGUGGGAGUGAAAGAAAAAGAGAAAAAGUUGAAAAGCGUUUAAAAAAAACCACACGAUCCGAUUUAAAAAAAACAACCUAAAAAAUGGCGAUACGCCACCAACCGCAAAAAUAUUAGCGCCUGCAACUUGAAAAUAUACUUCUGACAAACUUAUGUUUAAACAAAACUUAUCGUUGCCUUUUCUUUUUUUUUUUCAUCCGAAGUGCAGCUUCUGUGGCACGUCCUUAUUUUGAACUGUUUGAACAUGUUUUUGAAAACACUAACUGUUUUCCAAGCCUUCAUUUCAUUUAGAGUUUUUCUAUUCUUAACUUGGGCCGGAUUUUUGGAUGAUAUCUGAAUCCAUUGGACUAUGGAAAUCUGAAGUUUUGUUUUACUUAAUGUAGAAUUAGGUGCACUUUUGAAAUCCUCAAGUUGCAUAAGAGUAACGACAAAGGGAUUAUGAGGAGUAACAGUUGCAAUAAAAUGGACCAAUUCAAAAGUAACUUUGCAUUUUUCAACCCUUUUUCGUUGUUCGAAGUCCCGAUCGCAACUUAAAAAGGAAUGGACGCUACAAAAAAUUUUUGAUUCAGUUCUUGGAAAUAGCCUUUAGCUACCAUGAAUAUUAACAAAAAUAUCAUAAAUAUAUUUUUGUCUUAUCCUCAACAAUUAUCGCUCCAUAGGGAUAACUUUGAUUUCCUUGUUAGUCCACUAGUUGUAGCUUUCCAAAUACACGACGCAACAAUGUCAUAAAAACAUCAGUUCUUUAUAGGUGUCCUCAACAUGAAUGCCUGUACAUAGUAUUGCCAUAGCUAGGGUACCUAUAAUAUGAAAAAAAACAAGGGCGCAGUUAUAAAAGCUCGCACAGGGCGCAGAAAAGGCUAUUUACGAAAUUGCUGCGUACAUACUAGAUAUAAGGCCAACAUAUAUUUUUAUAGGUUAUAAAGCAUAAUGUCAAUACAGAUAACAGACUUUAGAAUAUAGACGAAAAUUUGGUUAUAAUUAUUUUUUUACCGGACUACAUAUCUAAACAAUGAACAUCUUUGGAUUAACAAGAUAUGUACCAAAUAUUUUAAGUCGAUGUACCAGUUCUGUAUGGAAUUCUGUUGCACCUUUUCAUUUCUUCAAUGUUUCAAAAGCAGUAGAUCAUAGACCAGGAGGUUUAUUUGGUAUGAUAACUCGUUCAGUGAUAAGAGUACAUUUUCCUAGACCUUCUGAAAGAAAAAGAAUAAAGGUGCAUGGCUGGAAUGCUAGAAUGAAAACUGCUGCUGGACGAAGGGUACUUAUGAACAGAAUAUUGAAAGGAAGAUUUGUAUAUUCUCAUUAAUUUCAAAAUUAACCCUUUAAAUUUUGUUGAUAGAUAAUAGUAUAUUUAUAUCAGAUA